CAAUCCCUGAGAAGAACACUAGAAGAGCUAUCUGUCGCCCUUGGGGAGGGGAAGGUCGAACUGCAGUAAUUGAAAAUCCAGCUGGUAUACGAGCAGCGGGCAGUUAAGGAUGUGGAGAUGGAAUCCGAGGUCCUGAGAAAGAGACGUCGAGAGGUAGAGAAUGAAAGCCAGUGACUUCAUCGGAGAUAUAUGGAGAUGCUAAUGAGAGAGAAGGAAUUGGAAGAAGAAGUCGAAAGCUUAAGGCACUCCCUGAUGAGGGUCGAAGCCGAAAGUUCGAAGUCGGGAGAAGCCGGGCCCCCUUAGGGCUCUUUUUGUCUUUCGUCCUUCUAUGUGUCUUCUUUUGCCACUUGUUUGUUUGUUGGCAUUGUUGCUUUUCUUUUUCUUUUUGAUGCCGAUGUCGUCUAGAGGUUCUGGGUCGUCGCCGCAUCGGUUUGCUUUUUUUGUCAUCUUUCUUCUUCAGCCUCAAGGGCUUUGUAAUGUAUACUUAAUUAAUAACAUGAAAAGGGAAUUUUUCGUUACCUCUUUUACUCAUGUGUUGAAUUGUCAUUUG
rnacentral:lncRNA from 1 species